AGGAAGGAGGGUCAAUCCUGGCUCACAGGUUGAGUGCUACUGUACGUCGCGGGGCGGAGGGUGGAGGCGGGGUAUGGUAGCAGGAGCUAGAAGCAGCUGUUUCACCCAUGGAAGUAUUCAGCUAGCAGGUACAAACUGAUGUUCUACGAUCUGUGUUCCACGCAGUUCAGAACCCCAGCCCACAGAAUGGCGCCACCACUGUUCAGUACAGUUAACCCAAUGUAGCAUCUCCUUCCCAGGCAUGCGCAGUGGCUUCUCUAAGCAGAGAGUUCGCAUCCUGCUGACAAAACAGUGCUAGCCAUCAGAGCUGCCAUCCAAAGUGUCCCAAGCAUGAGGCAGAUCACUCCAGACAAAGGUCAUUCCCUUUGUUUUCUAUCCUGUGGAUUUGGGAGCAUCAGUGUAUGGCAGCUUCAUUGCUAAGCCAAUGGGUCUGAAAGCACAAUCAAGGGAAAGAACAGCAAAUUGCAAAAUCCAGCUCUGUGCUUCAUGUGUACAUCUUCAGAGGUUCAACAUGUGAAUGCACUGCAAGUAGAAGCCAGAAAAGGGUGUUGGACCUCCUGGAAUUGAAGAGAUAAAUGGUUGUAAACUGCCUAAUGUGGAUGCUAGGAACUGAACCUAAGUACUGCACAGGAGCAUCAAGGGCCCAUAACCACUGAGCCAUCUCUCCAGGCCAAUUUGGGCAUUUUUGUGCUUGUAUGUAUUUCAGUCAUAGUAGAUGGGACUUAACCUGCAGCUUUCUUCUUCUCAAAGUAAUUCUGGGUGUUGUCUCCAGCUUUGUUCAGACCUCCAAAUAAACUGGGAUUUCUGGUACCGAGCAGAUUAGCAGUCAUGUUCUAUGAGGGUGUGAAGACAAACUAGCUG